GACGAACGCUGGCGGCGUGCUUAACACAUGCAAGUCGAACGGAAAGGCCCCUUUGGGGGUACUCGAGUGGCGAACGGGUGAGUAACACGUGAGUAACCUGCCCUUGACUUCGGGAUAACUUCAGGAAACUGGGGCUAAUACCGGAUGGGAAUCCUUGCUGCAUGGUGGGGGUUGGAAAGCUUCGGCGGUUUUGGAUGGACUCGCGGCUUAUCAGCUUGUUGGUGGGGUAGUGGCUUACCAAGGCUUUGACGGGUAGCCGGCCUGAGAGGGCGACCGGCCACAUUGGGACUGGGAUACGGCCCAGACUCCUACGGGAGGCAGCAGUGGGGAAUGUUGCACAAUGGGCGGAAGCCUGAUGCAUCAACGCCGCGUGCGGGAUGACGUCCUUCGUGUUGGAAACCGCUUUCAGCAGGGGCGAAUCUUGUGGUGACGGUACCUGCAGAAGAAGCACCGGCUAACUACGGG
rnacentral:rRNA from 1 species